rnacentral:pre_miRNA from 1 species
CCGAUCAACAGGUGAAGCUACCACAUGAUCCGAUCUAUCCUUGACAGUGAAGGAAGUUUAGAUCAUGCUGGCAGCUUCAACUGCUGCUGGUU